rnacentral:rRNA from 1 species
GACGAACGCUGGCGGCGUGCCUAAUACAUGCAAGUAGAACGCUGAAGGAGGAGCUUGCUUCUCUGGAUGAGUUGCGAACGGGUGAGUAACGCGUAGGUAACCUGCCUGGUAGCGGGGGGUAACUAUUGGAAACGAUAGCUAAUACCGCAUAAUAUUGACUAUUGCAUGAUAGUCAAUUAAAAGGUGCAAUUGCAUCACUACCAGAUGGACCUGCGUUGUAUUAGCUAGUUGGUGAGGUAACGGCUCACCAAGGCGACGAUACAUAGCCGACCUGAGAGGGUGAUCGGCCACACUGGGACUGAGACACGGCCCAGACUCCUACGGGAGGCAGCAGUAGGGAAUCUUCGGCAAUGGACGGAAGUCUGACCGAGCAACGCCGCGUGAGUGAAGAAGGUUUUCGGAUCGUAAAGCUCUGUUGUAAGAGAAGAACGAGUGUGAGAGNGGAAAGUUCACACNGNGACGG